rnacentral:lncRNA from 1 species
UAAUUACUACUAUCUAUGUAGUAGUAUAGUAAGGACCAAGAAUGUGAUAUGCCGAAGAAUUCGGAAAGUAAAUGUCGGACUUUAGUCAAAUUGACCGAAGUGCGAGGUUGCUAUGCUUCGGAAAGACCGAAGGCGUUAGAAUGAGUAAAAGUGCAUUGUGGGAGGUUUUCGAGAGCUAAAGAAUCAAAAUCUGCAAACUG